rnacentral:rRNA from 1 species
UACUGUAGUUUGAUAUUGAGGGUCUGUACCGCAUGUACAGGAUAGGUAGGAGCCGUAGAAAUCGGAACGCUAGUUUCGAUGGAGGCGCGGGUGGGAUACUACCCCUGCGUUAUGGCCACUCUAACCCGCACCACUAAUCGUGGUGGGAGACAGUGGCAGAUGGGCAGUUUGACUGGGGCGGUCGCCUCCUAAAAGGGAACGGAGGCGCCCAAAGGUUCCCUCAGAAUGGUUGGAAAUCAUUCGAAGAGUGUAAAGGCAGAAGGGAGC